CUACGGGUCGCUGCAGUGGGGAAUAUUGUACAAUGGGGGAAACCCUGAUGCAGCAACGCCGCGUGGAGGAUGACGCAUUUCGGUGUGUAAACUCCUUUUAUAUAGGAAGAUAAUGACGGUACUAUAUGAAUAAGCACCGGCUAACUCCGUGCCAGCAGCCGCGGUAAUACGGAGGGUGCAAGCGUUACUCGGAAUCACUGGGCGUAAAGCGCGCGCAGGCGGCCUUUUAAGUUGGAUGUGAAAGCCUACGGCUCAACCGUAGAACUGCAUCCAAAACUACUAGGCUAGAGUCUGGGAGGGGAAGAUGGAAUUAGUUGUGUAGGGGUAAAAUCCGUAGAGAUAACUAGGAAUACCAAAAGCGAAGGCAAUCUUCUGGAACAGUACUGACGCUGAGGCGCGAAAGCGUGGGGAGCAAACAGGAUUAGAUACCCGGGUAGUC
rnacentral:rRNA from 1 species